GGGGUUUUUGCUGGCGUCUAUAAGAUGAACAGCUCCCCUAAAAUGCAUUAGCUGGUGCCCUGCGCGGACUGUCUAUUGGUGUGAUAAUUAUCUACGCCGUGGACUGCUGCCUUAAAUGGGUGCACUGCUUAUAACCGUCUCUUCGAGACAAUAUAUGACCAUUUGACCUCAAAUCAGGUAGGACUACCCGCUGAACUUAA
rnacentral:misc_RNA from 1 species